ACGACAACGUUCUGAACAUCGCUGGAAUAUGCAUACGAGCGCAUGGACAUAUCGUAAUUGACUCGUCCGACAUUUCUCUGGGCGAAGGUGCCUUGUAACGACCUUUGCGAUGAUGCUCUAAACAACACCGCCAUAGUUUUUCUUCUUCUUCCUAGCGCUCAACCGUAACCUCUUGUUCGCGUUGUUUGUGUUUCUUUGUUUUGACUCGUUGGAUGUUCGGUGGUUACGCCAGGCUAUGACACAUGAUAAGUAGUCUUUAAUUGGAGUCACUGGAUGAUUGUGUUAUACAUGUGGAGGGUAAGAGGAAGAAACAUGGAAUGCCACUAAGUAACGACUUUAUUAUAUUUAGAUAAUCGUGUUUUAAUAUGUUAGUGCACUACUGAGGGACCAAGGUUCAUUGAGUUUAACUGUAUUGUUCAUAGCAUGGACUCUAACAUUACAUGGGAAGUAAUGGUGAAUUAAUAGCAUAUUCUGUGGCACUGAAACUCUAAUUGGGAUGAGAAAGAAGAUUAUUAUUAGAGAAAGAUGUGAUUGUUUUAUAUUGUCCUAAUUUCUUCCUCCAAAUUGAAUAUUAAUACUGGAACGAAAUACAUAGUGCCUGCUUGUAUUGUUAUCGAAAUAAAUAAUAUCCAAUCAUCUUAUCAGUAUCUGGAAAAACGUUCAAGUAGCCAUGAAGCUAAGCGUAAUCAGCAUAGACAUACAACAAGGAGAAAAGCUAAAUGAAAAUUUGACGAUUUGGAAAGUUGAAUGAAAAAGUUGAAAAUUUACAUAGUAUAACCAGAAAGCUAUGAAAAGGAAGAUAAGUUAAAUUCUAAAGACUUCAUUAUAGAAAAAACACCGACCAAUAACACAAAUGCAGUUAAAUAAUAAGUAGGAAAAUACAUUGUACUGUAGCAUAUUGGUAUCAUAGUUAAAUCAUGUACAUAUAUAUUAUAUUAAAACUAAGACAAAAGAAUUAAACUACAUGUACAUCUAAUAAUAGUGGGCUGUAAAGAUAGAAUAACUAUUCCUAGGAUUAGGAAGAGUGUACAUGUAACAAGUAAAUCACUAUGCUAAGCCAAAGAACCUCCUUGUGAUAGACAUACAGUCUGACUAAAUGAAGUAUUCUUACAUUAUUAUAUUAAUGUUUACAAGCGGUGAAAAUAGGAAGAAUGGAGACAUUUCUUGUCCUAUUCCAUAAAGAAGAUCAGCCAUUCCCUGUUUUUACUCCAAAGUUUUUACGCUCAUUACACAUUUUAUUUAUAAUUUUUCAUUAUUCAACAGUUUUAUAACAUCAAAGUGCCACUAAUAGAAUGUAUUAUAACAUAAAAUAAAAAUAAUGCAAUAAAAUGUA